rnacentral:rRNA from 1 species
AUUGAACGCUGGCGGCAGGCCUAACACAUGCAAGUCGAGCGAGCGGCGGACGGGUGAGUAAUGUAUGGGGAUCUGCCCGAUAGAGGGGGAUAACUACUGGAAACGGUGGCUAAUACCGCUUACCUUCGGAUGAACCCAUAUGGGAUUAGCUAGUAGGUGGGGUAAAGGCUCACCUAGGCGACGAUCUCUAGCGGGUCUGGGAGGAUGAUCAGCCACACUGGGACGGAGACACGGCCCAGACUCCUACGGGAGGCAGCAGUGGGGAUUAUUGCACAAGGGGCGCAAGCCUGAUGCAGCCAUGCCGCGUGUAUGAAGAAGGCCUUAGGGUUUUAAAGUACUUUCAGCGAGGAGGCGUUACCCGCAGAAGAAGCACCGGCUAACUCCGUGCCAGCCGCCGCGGUAAUUC